AGGAAAUGAAACAGGCCCUUUUGAGCUAAAUGAAAGGUUAUCCAAGGAGAAUAAGGUCUGAAAUAGCCACAGGUUCGCACUUUGCUGACAGACCCAUCCAAGCAUCAGUUGUUAAUGACAACCUGCUCCAUGUGACUAUGAGCCCUGAACUUCAUGAAAGCUGAUAUAAACUAAUCCAACUGAUGCAAAGGCUGUUUCUUCAACUGGUCAAUGAACCAGAAGUUUCUAAAUUGCCUCCUUACCUUUGACUAACAUUCUAACCUUCCAAGGUCCUGACAAUGUCUGGGACAAGGUCAGAAUCUCUAGGACAGGCAACUAGAUCAUCUUAUAGUCAGGUUGCCUAGCCACAGGACAUUGAGGCAGAGCCCUUGACCCUUUCACCCUGUAAACAUCCUAUACAAACAUCCUGUUAGCUUGCCCCACCUUAUGCAAAUAACAGCUUCUUGCUCCCCCCACCCUGCAGGAACUAUAUAAACCCUCUUGGAGAAAAAUAAAGUGGCACCUUGAUCAGAA